rnacentral:lncRNA from 1 species
GCCCACUGCCGCACGGGGGCGUGGCCAGAAUCUACCCGGAGGCUCGCCACGCCCCGCUUCACAAACUCUGCAAGCCAGGCACACACAUUACUAACAAGCUCUGGAUCCUGUUAAAAGAGAACAUCAGUCACGAAGCACAAGCACAGAAGCCCCCAAGGAUGCUUCCAGAAUUAUGGAGACUUGUACCAAAUGAAGCUGAGGAGAGAAUUCUUAAUGAUGAAGAACUGUUGGAAGCAAGACUGGGAAGGGCUGACCUAUGACUUCUAGCAAAUAACACAACUGUGUCUCCAGAACUGAGUGGAUACUGAGACCCUAAGCCCAUACCUGCCCAACCUAUAGGAGGAAGUAGCCUUGGGGAUGUCACUGUGUUCCUGCCAAUGGCCCAAGGCUCAUUGAGCUAAUUGCUUUCUGGGGAAAGUGGUUUUGCUUUAUAUGUCUUAACAUCUGGGGAGAGAGACCACCUGUACAUCGCAGGAAGCACACCAGGAUGACUACAGCAUGAACAGGCUUGGCGAAGGCCACUGGUAAAAGGCAAGGUGUCCUCUCACAAGGAUACCAAUGUCACCAAAACGAAGUAGAGGAGCCAAUCUAUACCAGUCACUGCAGUUAUCAAGGAGAUUAAAAUACCUCUGCUCAGCCCUAAAAAUGAUGAGAGGAAAAUAAAUUAUGAGACAUUAGCAAUCUAAGGAGAAAGUUGUAGAAUAGCACAUUGUUUAGAAGUAAGACCUUAACACUUCAAGGCUCUUUAGUGAAUGCUGUGCUCGUUAUUGUCAGGUAUAGACACCUAGUAAGAAAGAUGGAUAUCCCAUCAUGCAUUUUAGGCUAAUAGUUGAGUGUGAUGAAAAGAAGACCUUAAUAAGGAAGAAAUCUGAAUUUCCCUUAAAUGAUAACAACAAGCAAAUAGUUGGGCAAAUGGAAUGGCUUGUGUUGGUAGAAGUCAACUUAUUUCUCAAAAAAAAAAAAAGUAAAAUGUUACCUUUUU